UACGUAGGGUGCGAGCGUUAAUCGGAAUUACUGGGCGUAAAGGGUGCGCAGGCGGAUAUAUAAGUUAGGUGUGAAAUACCUGAGCUCAACUUAGGAAUUGCACUUAAGACGUAUAUCUAGAGUAUGUGAGAGGGGGGUAGAAUUCCAGGUGUAGCAGUGAAAUGCGUAGAGAUUUGGAGGAAUACCGGCGGCGAAGGCGGCCCCCUGGCAUAAUUACUGACGCUCAUGCACGAAAGCGUGGGUAGCAAACAGG
rnacentral:rRNA from 1 species